rnacentral:rRNA from 1 species
UGGUGGAGUGAUUUGUCUGGUUAAUUCCGUUAACGAACGAGACCUUUACCUGCUAAAUAGUCCGGGCUCCUUGGUAGGGUUUUUGGGGUCGGCGUCGAAGGACGGGGCAACCCGCCCGACGGCGUCGGUCCCGCCCUACCUCCAAAGGGAGUACCGGCGGUGCGUCGAGAGUGGCUCCGCGAGGGGUCAUUUCCCGGCGCACCGGUUCGCUUCUUAGAGGGACAUUGUAGCGUUUAUUCAAAAAUAGCGCACGGAAGUUAAAGGCAAUAACA